rnacentral:rRNA from 1 species
GACGAACGCUGGCGGCGUGCUUAACACAUGCAAGUCGAACGGAAAGGCCCUGCUUUUGUGGGGUGCUCGAGUGGCGAACGGGUGAGUAACACGUGAGUAACCUGCCCUUGACUUUGGGAUAACUUCAGGAAACUGGGGCUAAUACCGGAUAGGAGCUCCUGCUGCAUGGUGGGGGUUGGAAAGUUUCGGCGGUUGGGGAUGGACUGGCGGCUUAUCAGCUUGUUGGUGGGGUAGUGGCUUACCAAGGCUUUGACGGGUAGCCGGCCUGAGAGGGUGACCGGCCACAUUGGGACUGAGAUACGGCCCAGAAUCCUACGGGAGGCAGCAGUGGGGAAUAUUGCACAAUGGGCGGAAGCCUGAUGCAGCAACGCCGCGUGCGGGAUGACGGCCUUCGGGUUGUAAACCGCUUUCGCCUGUGACGAAGCGUGAGUGACGGUAAUGGGUAAAGAAGCACCGGCUAACUACGUG